GGGCUACUGGUCGGCCUGCCCAGAGUACAGCCGGGCCAUUGACAAGCGCUGGGGUAAAGCUCUCAGCGGCCGCCGGCCCACCCAACGCCCAGCGGACCGGCGGCUGGUACCACCAAUUUUAAAGGGCAAGGCCUUUGAUUUGUGUGCAGAUCUGUUGCUGGCUGGAGCUCAGCUCAGCCACUUAAGCCAAAGAACAUCAUUCAGAUUCCAGCUUCAGCUUCUGUGAGUGGGGCAAGAUCUUCAGGAUGUUUGUAUGUCUUCCAGCACAAUAAAUAACAUCUAAGGAGUGACUAGGUGGGGUCAUCAUGAAUGUUUUCCAAGACCACCCACCCAUCAAGACCCUUGGGUCCAGGGCAUAUGUGACUUAUGGAGAGGACCUAAACCCUCGUCUGUGUUCCUGGAUGCUUGAGAAGAUACUGUGCACUGGACCACAAUCCUCAGUAAAACCCCAGGCCCCAAGUAGAGAUAAAAUUCAUUCUUCUUUCCUUUCUGAGGUUCUCAGAUGCUCUGUCUCUACACUCUCUCUCUAUCUUUAAUAAAAUCUGCUUUCACUUCCUUUCAGCUUAUGUUGAUUUUUAUUCUGCUUGAGAAGUCAAGGAUGUUCUUGGCUGGUCCUGCAGGAGCCCUCUGGGUCCUCAGACCCAGC